UAACUGAUCAUCCAGCUGGCUGGUUAGUGCUUAACUGAUAGGUAAGUACCUGACUUUAAUAAAAAGGUCAGCAGAACUCAGUUGGAGAGGGAUCAGUUGGGGACAGAGAGCUCUUGGAGAGAGGAGAUCCCAACAAUGCACAAGGGGAGUGCUUCCUAAACCAGUUAUGGGAAGGACUGUUGAACUGAACCCCAGUGCCAGGAGGCUGAGGGAUUCCUACCAGUGCUGUAGGCCGGAGACAGUGGGAUCUCGGAGAUGGGAGACAUAGGGGAAUGGAGAUCUUGGAUUUGGUCCAUGCUGACUGCGCAAUUCCGGAUGACGUCUCGGUGAUGCGAUCCUCGGCAGUGGUGUCUGAAAAUGCAAAUCAGUUGCAGGAGUAAUGCAUGUUUCCAUCAAAUCCCACAGAACUUUUUAGCCUCUUCAUCAAGGGAGUGGUUCCUUUGAUACAAUCUAUCACCUGCUACAGAUGUGGGGCUGGAGGACGUAAUCCAUGGUGGAACAGCUAAGAAGCCCAAGGACCAGGAAAAGCAAGGAAAACCAAUACUUGGGACACAUAGAGGAAUGUGAGAAGGGUCUUGGAGUGAAUGAUGGAAGGAGGUAAAAAUGAUGCCCGCUUUUAAGGCUGACUGGACAGGUCCAGGCAGAUGUGGAAUGAGAGGGGAAGGAGACCUGAGACCAGGCAAUUCUAAUGAGAGCUUUUCAAGGACUCAGGUAUCACAUUGAACCUAGUAACUGGCCCCGGCACCUGCUAGAUAUAGGUUAAUAGUGCUCUUUGGAGCACCUCCUACUCUCCAGCUCCUUCAUAGCCCUCACUCCAGUCACCUCUGCCAGUCACCUAAGAGGACUAGAAUCCCCAGUUAGAUGGGCAAGAUGCACCUGUAAAAUAUUCAGUUACCAUUGUUUGUGUAACUGUUACUCUGCUUUGCCAUUGCAGCUGGCUUGAAUUUUUGUUGGUGUAUAAUAAAGCUGAAUCUGGGGAAAGUCUGUGUAAUGAGCACAAUCAAUCAUGCUGGUCUAUAAUACCAAAAACAACAACAGUUCACUCCUCCAUUCUCUCUAGGAACGCAGCCAUGCAUCCCGAAAGAGCGCCCACUGGUACGGAACACACCAGCCUGUCUAUUUAGUAACAUAGGUCGCUGAACACAUCACUCAAGUACACCACUCUCUGCACUGGCUCAGACUCCAGUUUAAGGUCGCUGUCCUGAUAUUCAAAGCCCUCUUUUGGAAUUGCUCAUAGCUACACAACAAGUCAGCUCUCUCCAUGACCAUGACCUCUCACAGCAGCUGCGUUCCAUUGGAACAAUGAGACAUGAGCACGGGAUGUGUGUGUGU